UACGUAGGGUGCAAGCGUUAUUCGGAAUUACUGGGCGUAAAGCGUGCGCAGGCGGUUAUGUAAGUCAGGUGUGAAAUCCCCGGGCUUAACCUGGGAACUGCAUUUGUGACUGCAUAGCUAGAGUACGGUAGAGGGGGAUGGAAUUCCGCGUGUAGCAGUGAAAUGCGUAGAUAUGCGGAGGAACACCGAUGGCGAAGGCAAUCCCCUGGACCUGUACUGACGCUCAUGCACGAAAGCGUGGGGAGCAAACAGG
rnacentral:rRNA from 1 species